GGGAGUUGAAGGCAGCUAGCUGUCAACGAAAGCUGUCAUUUGAAAAACUGUCUGCUAGUAGAAGCUGUCACGAGCAUGUCACGUUGGUGCAGGUGCAUAGCGGAUCGUUGGGAACAUGUUAGGUAAAAUGGAUUCGCUUCUACUGAAAAGUAAAUUCAGAGGUACCAUGCUUGGUGCGUUGAUGGGCGACUGCCUCGGAUCUGCUUAUGAAGGCGAAGGCUUGUUCACUCCAGGAAUGAAGCUCGUCAUUCAGAGAUCAUUCGACAAACUCGAAGGGCCGUACUUUAAAGCUCCUCUCAUGCAGUUCACUGAUGAUUCUGCCAUGACUUCUGCAGUCGCUGAAUCUUUGAUCGAAUGUCAAGGCUUUGAUCAGGUCAAUAUGGCUAAGAAAUUUGUCACGUCAUAUUACCGUGAACCAAAACGGGGAUAUGGUGCUGGUGUACCCACAGUAUUCCAUAAACUACGAAACAACAAGUUCGUUGAUGUACUAGGGCCAGCGAGGGAGCAGUUCAACGGCCAAGGUUCCUUAGGCAAUGGUGGUGCCAUGAGAGUUGCUCCGGUUGCUCUUCUGUGCCACAAAAAUUAUAACCUGAUGGUAGAUACAGCAAGAAAGCAGGCCCAGAUCACACAUGCGCAUAAGAUUGGAAUUGACGGAGCUAUACUGCAGGCCUUAGCAGUUCAUCAAAGCCUUGGCUUAGAUUCCAGGGAGAAGUUAGAUGCGUGCAGGUUUACCGCUGAUUUGAUAGAUAAAAUGGACAAGAUAGAAGUUGAUGAAGAAGGCCUGGGUUUGGUAGAUCCAAUGCCCUACAAGACCCAAUUAAAAUUGGUGAGAGAUCUGAUUUGCAAAAUAGACGAAGCGCAUGAACAAAAGGUGGUUCAUCAACUAGGAACUGAAGUCUCUGCACUUUAUUCUGUACCUACCGCCAUUUACUGUUUUCUCCGAGCACAGCGGCCCAUUCAAGAUAUAGAAACGGAGAACCCAUUAAGAAGGACCAUACAAUACGCUCAAGAAAUGAGUGGGCGUUGGAACACGCUUUCAUCACUGAAGCCCGAAUGCAAAUACCUGUCAUGGUCGGACGUCGAAAUUCACAAACUUGUAUAUUUGUACAAAAUGUUCCCAUGUCUUUGGAGAAAAGAUAUUCCCCUCUAUAAUGACAAUGUAGCGCGUCACCUUGCAUACCGAAAUAUACAUCAAGCAUUGAGCAAGCCUGAUCUCACAUUCACAGGUGUUAUAAUGAAAAUACGAGAGAUUCGCCAUGAAUAUAUAAAUGAUCUAAAAAACGCCCUGGCUGCAAAACCUUCCGGGCACUGCUACCAACCUAGAUCUACCUGGUUUACAUUUUUACAUCAGUUUCUUUAUCCUUAUUUGGACACCAAUGAGUUAGUUCAACUACAUGUUAGUAUAGGCAUUGUAACCUGUGGUAUAUGCCAUAUUGAUGUUUUGUGAAUUGCUUCAUCUCAAUUAUCCGCUAGAUGCUUAAUGUGGUCAAAGAACACGGUCUAGAUGUUCUGACUUCUUUUUGCAGAAUAUUGAUCAUCACUCGGCUCAUAGUGUUAGCGACAAUGAUUGUCGAAGUGUCUCAGAGACAGUAAUUCGAGGCAAUGCAAAAGUACUAAACAAUAUUGAAGCAACACAUUAUUGCUCAUCCUAUGCAGAUCGACCUCUGAUGGAAGACUUUAGCAUGGCAUACCCGAAACUAUGUCUUCCCGCAAAUUCAUGUAUGGUAGUUAACGACCAUUGUCUUGAUUGGUUCCAUCCUGUCGAUUCAGAUUUAUGUUAUGAACAAACCACUACUCCAGGGUUAGAUAGUUCGACUUACUUGCUUUCACAUGGAUUCAAACAUCGGCCCCUGCCAUUAACGUCUUUGCCACUGAAUAUGUGCUAUCAAUCAUAUGAUUUCCAUCCAGUAAAUACUGCUAUGAGUUCGUUGAAACUAGGAAAGCGAUACAGUGAAUCCGAGAAUUCUGUGUCAUCAGAAAAAUCUUCCACAACCAUAGUUUGUGAAAGGCGAUCAGAUUCCACUUGCACACCUACAAAAAGCGUUGUAGAAUGUGGAGUGCAGUGGGAAAAUGUUAACACUCAGGUGAAUUUUUAGUCGUAUAAUUUACGUUCAAACAAACUCAAACUCUAUAUUUUCGAAGAAGAAUAGUUGGGCCGUAUCUUGCACCACGUCUCCAUUUGAACGAGAGACAAAGGAUUCAUCAAUUGCAGUAGAGCAUGAUGCAUACGAUCGCUUUGCUGAAACCAUUGCCUGCCAUCUCAGAACAAUGGAUGUAGAAACUGCUAUGCAAGCCCAGAAUCAAAUUCAUAAAAUUAUAACAGAUUAUCGGCUGCGAAAACCCGAAACAGUAUGUCCAAUAUAUGUAUAUUACGUAUACAUGGCUAUGGCGUAUAAAAAUAUUAAUGACAGACAGAAGCAAACUAAAAAUCAUUGAUGUUCGCGUGACGUUUUCAAGUAUCAACAUAUUUGACUGGAUAGCGAUUAUGUUGUAUCAUUUGUAUCCUUUUUUUUUCAUUUCUCACUUUAAUCGGUUCUGUCCAUUAAUCAGUAAAUCGUGUUAUCAGCAAACUAUAAGGCUGGUGAGACCAGAAGUUGAUAAAAGAAGAUCAGUACGCAAAGCCUUGCAUCGAGUUGCCAAAACCUGUCAUGUUUUAGACCAUCACCUAGUUGAACCCCGAGCUGUCGAAAAAACGCUUACAUCUCAAAAAAUCUCUUUGCCAUGGUCGACAAGACCCACCCUCAGCCCUACUCGGAAAAAAUUUCGAACCGGAAACCCUGUAUUCGGAGAAAAGAGCUGAUGGGGUGCUUCUAAUAGUGCACUAUAAGUGUAGAACACUUACUCUACCGUUAUCGAGAUAAUAACUGAUAAUGGCAUUUCCUAAGUAUCUUGGUAGACUUCGGAAUUGAAUAUCGUCCAGUAAAUACAAUUUAUCACCGAAAGGAGUUCCGGUUCCCGGAGCACUGUUAGCAAUGAAAUUCAUUUAAAAAUCAGUUGCGCAUUUUGGGGUAAACUGUCGAAACAAAAUCAUCAGCCCUGAGAUAUUCCUUAUGUUUGUACCAAGAUCGUGCGAAUUUCUGACAUACUAGAUGAUGUACGACCUCACGAUAUAUUACGUAUUUUCGAACGGGGUUUGCAUCGGUGAAUUGACCUGAAAUGUUUUUCAGAUCAGCUUGGGUGGUGAUACGGAUACAAUUGGAAGCAUGGCUGGAGCCGUUGCAGGUGCAUUUUAUGGGGAAGAGCUAAUCAAGCCAGAAGUCUUGCAGCACUGUGAGAACUCGACAGAAUUUAAAAAUCUUGCUGA